GAUGAACGCUGGCGGCGUGCCUAAUACAUGCAAGUCGAGCGAACAGACGAGGAGCUUGCUCCUCUGACGUUAGCGGCGGACGGGUGAGUAACACGUGGAUAACCUACCUAUAAGACUGGGAUAACUUCGGGAAACCGGAGCUAAUACCGGAUAAUAUAUUGAACCGCAUGGUUCAAUAGUGAAAGACGGUUUUGCUGUCACUUAUAGAUGGAUCCGCGCCGCAUUAGCUAGUUGGUAAGGUAACGGCUUACCAAGGCGACGAUGCGUAGCCGACCUGAGAGGGUGAUCGGCCACACUGGAACUGAGACACGGUCCAGACUCCUACGGGAGGCAGCAGUAGGGAAUCUUCCGCAAUGGGCGAAAGCCUGACGGAGCAACGCCGCGUGAGUGAUGAAGGGCUUCGGAUCGUAAAACUCUGUUAUUAGGGAAGAACAAAUGUGUAAGUAACUAUGCACGUCUUGACGGUACCUAAUCAGAAAGCCACGGCUAACUACGUG
rnacentral:rRNA from 1 species